GGGGAAUAUUGCACAAUGGGCGAAAGCCUGAUGCAGCAACGCCGCGUGAGUGAUGAAGGUCUUCGGAUUGUAAAGCUCUGUCUUUUGGGACGAUAAUGACGGUACCAAAGGAGGAAGCCACGGCUAACUACGUGCCAGCAGCCGCGGUAAUACGUAGGUGGCGAGCGUUGUCCGGAUUUACUGGGCGUAAAGGGUGCGUAGGCGGAUGUUUAAGUGAGAUGUGAAAUACCCGGGCUUAACUUGGGUGCUGCAUUUCAAACUG
rnacentral:rRNA from 1 species